rnacentral:rRNA from 1 species
UCGCCUACGGGAGGCAGCAGUAGGGAAUCUUCCACAAUGGACGAAAGUCUGAUGGAGCAACGCCGCGUGAGUGAAGAAGGGUUUCGGCUCGUAAAGCUUUGUUGGUAGUGAAGAAAGAUAGAGGUAGUAACUGGCCUUUAUUUGACGGUAAUUACUUAGAAAGUCACGGCUAACUACGUGCCAGCAGCCGCGGUAAUACGUAGGGGGCAAGCGUUGUCCGGAUUUAUUGGGCGUAAAGCGAGGGCAGGCCGUUUC